CGGAGGUUGAGAUGAAGAUUUGGGGUUCCCCACCUGUGGAGUCAUCCUCUUCAGAAUCUCCUCCUCGAUCCCCAGCCACAGUGGAAGCCUCAAACCCUCUCCAUGAUACCUUGUAGGUCCUUCUGGUUGUGCUGUGUGGGACACUGCCUCAACAUGGCUUGAUGAGCGGUGCCAUGCCAUGUCCACGCUCAGGAUCCGAACCAGCAAAACCUCGGGCUGCUGAAGCGGAGCACGUGAACUUCACCACUUGGCCACGGGGCUGGUCCCUACAAACAUUUUUAUUUUAAUGCUAUUAAAAUAAUCUCCAAAUCUACACUUCCGAUGCCUGGCUUGGAGAGUCUGACCAGUACAGAAAAUAUCACGGGCAUCUGAAGCUUCCCAUCGAACGAAGGAAUGAACGCCCUGCAAUCAACGAAGGCAGAGCAAACAGCAGCAAGUGGGCUGUGAGCAGACAGCAAGAAGAGACAAAC
rnacentral:lncRNA from 1 species